GUCUCCGGUCUUCCCAUCCUGAACACACCUGAGCUUGUCAGGUCUCGGAAGCUGAGCAGGGUUGGGUCUGGCUAGUACUUGGGUUAAAAAAAUGCAGACU
ensembl:rRNA 5S_rRNA 5S ribosomal RNA